GAUGAACGCUGGCGGCGUGCCUAAUACAUGCAAGUCGAGCGAACAGACGAGGAGCUUGCUCCUCUGACGUUAACGGCGGAAGGGUGAGUAACACGUGGAUAACCUACCUAUAAGACUGGGAUAACUUCGGGAAACCGUAGCUAAUACCGGAUAAUAUAUUUAACCGCAUGGUUCAAUAGUGAAAGACGGUUUUGCUGUCACUUAUAGAUGGGUCCGCGGCGCAUUAGCUAGUUGGUAAGGUAACGGCUUACCAAGGCAACGAUGCGUAGCCGACCUGAGAGGGUGAUCGGCCACACUGGAACUGAGACACGGUACAGACUCCUACGGGAGGCAGCAGUAGGGAAUCUUCCGCCAUGGGCGAAAGAUUGACGGAGCAACGCCGCGUGAGUGAUGAAGGUCUUCGGAUCGUAAGACUCUGUUAUUAGGGAAGAACAAAUGUGUAAGUAACUAUGAACGUCUUGACGGUACCUAAUCAGAAAGCCACGGCUAACUACGUG
rnacentral:rRNA from 1 species